UAAUGGGAAGGGAAGACCUUAUCUAUAGAAAUUAGGAACCGUUGGAUUUGCGUCAAGUAACAAAAUUCGAUGAAGAGAGAAAAAAAAGAUGCUCAACAUAAAAAAUAAGGGAGGAAGGUCUCCUUCGCCGACGGUAAUGGCGUGCCGCAUGAGGUGAUGGUGGCGCACUUCUUGAGGCGACAGUGGCUUGCCUAGCGCUCUGCAGGCUAGCCUGCAGGCACACAGCCCUCCCUAACAUAUGUGUAGGGGCUAGAUUACACGCGCAUAUAGCCUAGGAGCAUUGGGUGCCACACGUGCAUGCCUACUAUGCGCAGGCUUGCUGCGCAGACUACUCGCGCACAAUGUGCGGUGCCUGUCCAUGUGCGAGGUGACAUGCGGAUGGCCUACCUCCGCGCAACAGGACUCACGU
rnacentral:lncRNA from 1 species